rnacentral:rRNA from 1 species
CCUGGCGGCCAUAGCAAGCGGGAACCACCUGAAUCCAUUUCGAACUCAGAAGUGAAGACGCUUAGCGCCGAUGGUAGUGUGGGGUCUCCCCAUGUGAGAGUAGGACACUGCCAGGC